GGCCCUUUAUAGUGCAGAAUAUCGGAACCCUAAACAAGAAUUAGUAGUUGUAUACAGUGUUUUUACCUGUAGGUGUACCGAGAAAAUAUUUAAUUUUUUCUUUUUUACAUUUACGGCACGUUUAACGAUAAAACAAUACAAAUAUAUUUAAAAAAGAAACUUUGAUUCUUUUAAUACACAGGGUGCCCUACAGUGUUAUAUGAUCGUUAUAUAACGUUAUUAUUAUUAUUUUUUUUUUCAUUCAAUUGGGUUUCGGGUCAGCGGGACACAUAAUACGCAGAGAAAAAUAAUUUUUUUUUUUCGUCACUUGUGCACUGAAAAACAUAAAUUUAUUUGUUCACUUUUUAAAACGUUUGAAACAGCCGUUUCGUAAAAAAUAUUAUUUUAAAAAUUUGAAUGUAACGUACAUUCAUGUCCGAUCAACAGUGUCUGUGCAACAGCGUGAAAACAUUUAGUUUUCAAUAAAACGACACGGUACGCGAUAAGGAAUCACGAUCGCCACGCUAACAUUGUAUUCCGUGCGCAACAAAGUUUCAACACAUACAAUCUCUACGUUAAUACGCGCGUUCCGUCAAAACUUAGAAAAAAAGUACCGUAGGUAUUUACGCGAUUAUUAUAUUACAAUUAUUAUUAUAUGGGUAUACAGUUUAAAAUAAUUGUUGGUAAUAACGUUGAUUGGUGAUUUUUUUUUUUUUUUAUGACUUUAUAUAACUAUUAAUCAUUAUGAUGUUGUUACAAAGGCACCCGACGGUUCCGCCUCCUGAAAAUAUUGAAAUGAGGUCAUCCUGGUUCUGCCCUUUGGAACCGAGUGGUUACUCAUUUAAAAGUGUAACUAGGCACGUACAAAAAUAUGCGUAUUGUACGGCUAAUCAAAACGUACAUAACGGUUUACGAAAAUUCAACGUAUAAUAUAUUUAUCGAAAUCUGCAAAAUAAUGAAACGUGUACCUAUCGUGUUAUUGUAGAAUAUACUGAAAUCGAAACGGAAUGUACUAGUACUCAACAGGAGAGUUACAAAAUAUUUAUAGUUGAGUUUGUAUUUUCGCCACGCGUUCUUGGUUCGCGGUACAUCUUCGGAUAAUUGGCGGAAUCGACGAGUUGUUUUAGAACCGCCCGUAUAAGGCGGUAUCAUAUGUACAGCGGCGGAUUCAGAAUUUUUUUUUUUUUUUUACAGAGGGGCACAUUAUUUAUAUGUUCA